rnacentral:lncRNA from 1 species
CUCGUGUAAUGUGGUUGCCAUGGCUAUUGCUGGCACCCUUCCUUGGUGAGCUGGUCUGGUCUCCAAAAAUGCUCUGGGAUCAUCUUUCAUUGCUGCAAUAAAUGUCCAUGGCUCUAACACUCUUCUUCAUGAAUGGCACGGUGGAGAUGUCCUCUAUUUUUGAAGAGCAUAUUGUUAGAGAUAAUACUUCUGCUGACCUUGAAGAGACUCAGCCUGUCUUAAGUAUUGGUGGUGGUAUUGCCCAAGUACAUGGACUGACGAAUGUUCAAGCAGAAGAAGUAGAAGAAUUUUCUUCAGGCUUAAAGGUUAUGUCUCUGAACUUGGAACCUGAAAAUGUUUGGAAAUGACAAACUGAAGGAGGAGAUAUUGUGAAGAGGACAGGAGCCACUGUAGACAUUCCAGUUGGUAAGGAGCUGUUGGGUUGUGUAGUAGAUACUCUUGAUCAUGUCCUUAAUUAUGUGGGUCCAGUGAUUCCAAAACCUAUAGACAAGUUGGUUAGAAAAAUCUUGGAAUUAUUCCUCAAACUUUGUUGCAGAAACUAAGUAGUCUGGCAUUAAGGCUUUGGGUUGCUUCGUGUUAGUUAGUUGUGGUCCGUGUGAACUGAUUAUUGACAACCGACAGACUGGCAAAAUUUAAAUUGCUAUUGACACAAUCAUUAUACACUCCAAUGAUCUGAUAGAAGAAGCCAUAUUGUCUCUACAUUGCAACGAGUUAAGAGAUGAUUUUCCAGUUGGUGAAGAGACUUACACAUGUAGAUGUCAUGAAGUAAGCUAUUGUGGUUCAGCUGCUAUUUCUGAUGUUGCCCCACUUCAGUACCUGGCUUCUUAUUCUGGCUGUUCUAUGGGAGAAUAUUUUAGAGAUAAUGGCAAAUGUACAUUUGCCAUCUAUGAUGAUCUAUCCAAACAGGCUGGUGAUUGCUAUCAGAUGUCCCUGCUGCUCUGCCGACUCCCUGUUGUGAGGCCUAUCCUGGUGAUAUGUUUCAUUUAUAAUCCUGGCUGUUGGAGAGGGUAGCCAAAAUGAGUAAUUCCUCUGGCAGUAGCUCCUUGACUGCUUCACCGGUCACAGAAACACAAGCUGGUAAUAUCUGCUUACAUUUCAGCAAAUGGAAUAUCCAUUGCUGACUAACAGAUCUUCUUAGAAACAGAAUUUCUCUACAAAAGUACCUGCCCUGUCAUUAAUGUUGUUCUGUGUUCUCCAUUGGAUAUGCUGCCCAAACCAGGGCUGUAAAGUAGGAGGCAGGUACUGUGAAGCUGGAAUUGGCUCAUUAUUGUGAAUGCUGCUUUUGCCCAAUUUGAUUCGGACUUUAAUGCAGUCAAACUCAGCAACUGUAAAGCUGGUGUGUAUCUGCCUAAGUUGCUGAUACAAGCCUGGUAUUCUUCCAUGGCUAUUGAAAACAAGCAGUUGCAAUCUAUACUCAUGUAAGAAGGCUAUCUUGAUAAACUGGAGCCUAGCAAGAUCACAAAGUUUGAGAACGCUUUCUUGGCAAAUGUUAUCAGCCAACACCAAGCCCUGUUCAGCAAUAUCAAGGCUGAUGGAAAGAUCCCUUAACAGUCAAAUGCAAAGCUGAUAGAGAUUAUAACCAACUUCUUGGCUGGAUUUGAAGCU